GACAGAGGGUGCAAACGUUGUUCGGAAUCACUGGGCGUAAAGCGCGUGUAGGCUGCUACGCAAGUCGGAUGUGAAAUCCCACGGCUCAACCAUGGAAGUGCAUUCGAAACUGCGUAGCUAGAGUUUUGGAGAGGAAGGCGGAAUACUUGGUGUAGAGGUGAAAUCCGUAGAUAUAUAAAGGAAUGCCAACAGCGAAGGCAACUUUUUGGUAUAAACUGACGUUGAGGGACGAAAGUGUGGGGAGCAAACAGG
rnacentral:rRNA from 1 species